GAUAACAAAUUUUUAAAAUAUUUUAAUUUUACAGUAAACAAAUCAAAUAGAAAUACAGUUAUUAGAAUACAAUUUUGCAUUAUGUAUUUAAUCUAACUCACAAAAAUUGUCGAAAUCGAACCGUAACUAUUCAAAGAUUCAGGGAGCAAAUAUGUGGACACCAGUGCAUAUGGCUAAAUUUUGCCGAAUAUGUCGGUGAAUUAUGGUGGAGAAAUUCGGGGAUAGUAUAAUAGUUAUAACAACGCGCUCUUGUGAAAAAAAUGGCUAAAAUCGGUUUAAACUUCACUUAGCCCCCAAACACCUAAUAUAACUAUUUUCGAACUUACGGCUGACUUUAUAGCAGUCAAUAGGUUAGAAUUCUUAAUUAAACCCAUACUCUUCUCCUAAUAAUAGUGCAUCUUCCUGCCUGAGCUGCCCAACUUAUUCCAGUAUGAAAGCACCUCAAAAUCACAACGUAAAAAAUUCAUCAAAUACACUUAAGUUUCGAGUUUUCUUUAAAUUUCGUUCCGUUCACAUACAUUUUUAGCAGAAUUUCGAUCUGGCCAUUCCAGUCAUUCCAAUUACGAUACGCCAGUCAACUGUCAAUGUAAGGUAGUUUAGUUUCUCUCUCAUUUCCAAUGACAAGGGAGUCGUCUCAUUAUCUUCGCUUCUUUUUGUGUGGUGUAAAAAUUUAAAAUUUUUUAAAUUUGAAAAAAUUUAAAAAUGCCACGAAUUCGAAAAUGUUGUGUGCGCGAGUGUAAUAACGAUAACAAAAAGUGCAAUUUGUUUGUUUGGCCGAAAAAUGAAAAAAUCGCAAGAAAGUGGUGCCGAAAUCUAGGCUUUGAGGGAAGGAAAAUAGCUACCACAAACACGUUUGUUUGUGCAAUGCAUUUUGAGGAUUAUGCACUAGGGGCUAAGAGGUUGAAAAUUGGAGCUGUUCCUACUCUAAAACUCGGAAAAUCCGAUGAUGCUGUUUACUUGUCAAUAAAGAAGAGUAAUGAAGUACGGACCUGCUGUGCUAAGGGAUGUCCAUCGGAUGAAAAAGACAUACUAUUUGCAUUCCCCGAUGAUGAGAUUGACUUCGAUAACUGGGUUUUAGCAUUAAAAAUAAGUACAUCAUACUCCGACCGAAGAAAGUUAUUUAUUUGUGACCGUCAUUUUGAUGUGGACUCCAUUAUAAAUAAGAAACUCAAGGAAGGAGCUAUCCCGAAGCAUAAUUUAUUUUAUGAAACAGUAGGUAAUUGUAGCAGCUUUUCUUCAAAUAGAGUCCUGCACCCUUCUAAACGUCAGUAGUCAUACACACAUCAGAAAGGAUAGGGGAAUAUAUCAGUUUGGAGGACUUCAAGUUAUAUUCGGAUCUCGAGGUGAAACGUUAACAAUACAAUGUUUUCUCCAACCUUGAUUCCUCAAAAUGUGUCCAAGAAUCUUGCGCAUGAAUUGCGUGAGCUUGUGAACAAAGUGCAAAUAAGCAAAAUCAAGGCAUAAAUGCGCUCAGGCAGGAGAGAAAGAUUUUAAAACAAGAAUUAUUUGAGUUAGGGAAUUGGACAAUUAUUGCAUCCAAAAAUUGCUGAUGAGAAUGUAACAUAUCUUGGUUGAAGGGUAUCAAUUAAUAAAGUACAUAAACUGAAGAUUAGAAUUUCUAGGAAAUCUUCAAGCAGGAACACAUCUGUGCCAUACUAAUCGACGAAAUUGUAAGUCAGGACUGUCGGGUCUGCGUAACCGGAACGAUCCCGGAUUUUUAUCCGGCCAAGGACUGUCAAUUCGGCAGAAUUCUGCCGCUACAAUAACAACAACAAACAAUUUAAAUUAAAAAAUAAAUUUGGAGCUGACAAAUCCAGUUUUUCUAUGUAUUUCUGAAUGAUUAUUGCCAUUUCUAUAUUCAUUGCCAUUUGAUUAAGUCGGUUAGGAAAAAUUUCUUAAAGUAAGACUUUAAAAUUAUCGAUGGUUUAGAAGCUACAUCCAAUCGAUGGUGGGAGUUAUAAUUGUAAAAUAUGUCCAUAGUUGACAUGCUCCCACAAUGUGAAACCCACAUAUGUAUGUAUGUACAUAUGUAUAUCCCAAGCAUUGAAAAAAAGGGUCCGUUCCAGAUGGCUUCGACCGGGAAUUAAGGCAGGGAUUACUACGUACUAUUGAAAUGCGCAAAAGUGACAUACAUAUGUAUGUAAAUGUUUGUGAAGCACAUCAACGACUUAAUCGAUUGCAAUAUUUAUCAUAAUCAUAACAACAAUGAUCAAUUUAACAAUAGAAACCUUGGGUGAUGCGGAUAGAAAUAGGACUAAAAUUACUUCACCGGAAUGGUUUGAAUGGUUUUUAGAAGCUGUUUAAUGUCUAAACUAUCAGCAACCCCUGUUAAAAUCUUUAAUAAUAGUACUCUAUUUAAAAACGCGAAAUGGUUGGUUGAAGAAAAGCUGUAAGAAAACAUUUGCCUACUUUAGAAUAGUAAAUUAAAAAAUUUAAUAAAAAGCAACGGGAUUAUGUAGUACUUAUUUUGGAUUAAUGCCAAUAAGUUAAAGGCGCGUUUUUGUAUGGGCUGCCUUCAUAAAUACAGUUUGCAAAAAUACGUUUUUUUUUUCUAGCGUAACAGUUGUUUAAUUUGUUAUGCUUUGAUUUUUUAACGGUAGAAAUAACGGACACGUAUUGAUAAAAAGUGGAACCACGAAAGAAAUACUAUUUUUAUGAAAGCAGAGUUUAGUGCAAAAAAAAAUUAAGAGAAAGAUAAGUUGAGCGAAUUUAUUACGUGACAUUAAGGAAUUGGAAACAAAAUUCCCUUAUAACGGGAUCCGACAAAUUGGCGUAUUUUUAAAAAGUUAGAUGAGGUCUUCGGCAGCCGCAGCAGCCUACAGGUGUCUAGUGAAAUUAUCACAAAUUUGUUGUGGAAUAUUUAAUAAGCGAGGAAUCAAUGACACCCACCGAAAAUAAAUCUGGCAUUAAACCUUCGAAUAUCACUACUCUGAGAAGUGUUAGUAUUAUAUAUAAUAAGUAAAGUAUCUUAAGUCAGAUGCUUUUACAAUGAAGAAGUUGUCGGAUUUAGAGAGAAUGAAAAUCACGGUAAAACAGAAGAAGUAGCUGAGUCCAAGAAAAUUUGUACCUUACUUCAGGAAAUUGUUGAAAAUUCACAAUUAUAUAAAUGGAAUUGAUGGCAAAUAUGAAUAAAAAUGCAGUAAGUUCGUUUAACUGUAAAUUAAUAAAUCUGUGAACCACAUUUUUUUCAAGGACAAAUAUUUGUUGCAAACACAACAAAGAAUUGAGUU
rnacentral:lncRNA from 1 species